GUAGGAUCUGACUUGAGGGGCAGCGAGAAGCACCAACAGAUGCUGUUGAAGGCGUAAUGAUGUGGAGACCACCUGAGGACACAUCAGGACAUGUGCUGCAAUAAAAACCAUCUUCACCGUCUGCCAAACUGAUCAGCACAUCCUCCCGAUACGACUGGCAACUCUUCUGCGUUUUAAUCUUCAUUAAAUGUGACACAGAUGGUCGUCAGGCGAAGAUUCACAGAAGCAAUCGUUAAGUUUUGAAAGCCGUUCAUCUUUUACAGGAACUAAGAGUCUGGAAGCAGUAAAGUGGCG